rnacentral:rRNA from 1 species
UACGUAGGUGGCGAGCGUUGUCCGGAUUUACUGGGUGUAAAGGGCGUGUAGGCGGGGAUGUAAGUCAGAUGUGAAAUUCCAUGGCUCAACUGUGGGGCUGCAUCUGAAACUAUAUCUCUUGAGUGCUGGAGAGGAAAAGCGGAAUUCCUAGUGUAGCGGUGAAAAUGCGUAGAUAUUAGGAGGAACACCAGUGGCGAAGGCGGCUUUCUGGACAGUAACUGACGCUGAGGCGCGAAAGCGUGGGGGAGCAAACAGG